rnacentral:rRNA from 1 species
GUUAAGCGACUAAGCGUACACGGUGGAUGCCCUGGCAGUCAGAGGCGAUGAAGGACGUGCUAAUCUGCGAUAAGCGUCGGUAAGGUGAUAUGAACCGUUAUAACCGGCGAUUUCCGAAUGGGGAAACCCAGUGUGUUUCGACACACUAUCAUUAACUGAAUCCAUAGGUUAAUGAGGCGAACCGGGGGAACUGAAACAUCUAAGUACCCCGAGGAAAAGAAAUCAACCGAGAUUCCCCCAGUAGCGGCGAGCGAACGGGGAGCAGCCCAGAGCCUGAAUCAGUGUGUGUGUUAGUGGAAGCGUCUGGAAAGGCGCGCGAUACAGGGUGACAGCCCCGUACACAAAAAUGCACAUGCUGUGAGCUCG